rnacentral:rRNA from 1 species
GGAUGUGAUCAUACCUGCACCAACGCACCAAAUCCCAUUAGAACUCCGAUGUUAAGAGUGCUUCGACGAGAGUAAUAUUAGGAUGGGUGACCUUAUGGGAGGUCUCCUUUAAUAAAGG